CCUACGAGAGUCUGCAGUGAGGAAUAUUGGUCAAUGGCCGGGAGGCUGAACCAGCCAAGUCGCGUGAGGGCAGACGGCCCUACGGGUUGUAAACCUCUUUUGUCAGGGAGCAAGGUGCAGGACGGGACCUGCUGUGAGAGUACCUGAAGAAAAAGCAUCGGCUAACGCCGGGCCAGCCGCCGCGGUAAGACGGAGGAUGCGAGGGUUAUUCGGAUUUAUUGGGUUUAAAGGGUGCGCAGGCGGAGGCACAAGGCUGCGGUAAAAUCGCGGGGCUCACACCCGCUCCGCCGUUGAAAAUGUGUCCCUUGAGUGCGCGAAGGGUAGGCGGAAUGCGUGGUGUAGCGGUGAAAUGCAUAGAUAUCACGCAGAACUCCGAUCGCGAAGGCAGCCUACCGGCGCGCAACUGACGCUCAUGCACGAAAGCGUGGGUAUCGAACAGGAUUAGAUACCCUAGUAGUC
rnacentral:rRNA from 1 species